UUUUAACUUUGAGCUUCUUAUACUUCUCAUAGUUGCUUGAAGAUUCCAUAGAAGAACGCUUGGAGAAAGCUGGAGGUUUGCUUUCUGAUUCUGAAAAGACAGAAGAAGAGAACAAAGAGGGGGAUGUAGAUGAAACUAUGAAAAGAUUAGCCCAAGGUGAAAAGCU